rnacentral:rRNA from 1 species
ACGGUACUCACAGAAGAAGCACCGGCUAACUACGUGCCAGCAGCCGCGGUAAUACGUAGGGUGCAGGCGUUAAUCGGAAUUACUGGGCGUAAAGCGUGCGCAGGCGGUUUGCUAAGACAGGUGUGAAAUCCCCGGGCUUAACCUGGGAAUUGCGCUUGUAACUGGCAGGCUAGAGUGUGGCAGAGGGGGGUGGAAUUCCACGUGUAGCAGUGAAAUGCGUAGAUAUGUGGAGGAACACCGAUGGCGAAGGCAGCCCCCUGGGUCAACACUGACGCUCAGGCACGAAAGCGUGGGGAGCAAACAGGAUUAGAUACCCUGGUAGUCCACGCCCUAAACUAUGUCAACUAGUUGUCGGGGAAGAAAUUCCUUGGUAACGAAGCUAACGCGUGAAGUUGACCGCCUGGGGAGUACGGCCGCAAGGUUAAAACUCAAAGGAAUUGACGGGGACCCGCACAAGCGGUGGAUUAUGUGGAUUAAUUCGAUGCAACGCGAAAAACCUUACCUACCCUUGACAUGCCAGGAACCUCGCAGAGAUGUGAGGGUGCCCGAAAG